GACUGUAGUUCAGUUGGUAGGUAAGCAUGAGACUUUUAAUCUCAGGGCUGUGGGUCCGAGCCCCUCAUUGGUUG